rnacentral:rRNA from 1 species
GAUGAACGCUGGCGGCGUGCCUAAUACAUGCAAGUCGAGCGAACGGACGAGAAGCUUGCUUCUCUGAUGUUAGCGGCGGGCGGGUGAGUAACACGUGGAUAACCUACCUAUAAGACUGGGAUAACUUCGGGAAACCGGAGCUAAUACCGGAUAAUAUUUUGAACCGCAUGGUUCAAAAGUGAAAGACGGUCUUGCUGUCACUUAUAGAUGGAUCCGCGCUGCAUUAGCUAGUUGGUAAGGUAACGGCUUACCAAGGCAACGAUGCAUAGCCGACCUGAGAGGAUGAUCGGCCACACUGGAACUGAGACACGGUCCAGACUCCUACGGGAGGCAGCAGUAGGGAAUCUUCCGCAAUGGGCGAAAGCCUGACGGAGCAACGCCGCGUGAGUGAUGAAGGUCUUCGGAUCGUAAAACUCUGUUAUUAGGGAAGAACAUAUGUGUAAGUAACUGUGCACAUCUUGACGGUACCUAAUCAGAAAGCCACGGCUAACUACGUG